rnacentral:lncRNA from 1 species
GUGCCGUAUUCCCUUCCUCUGAUCUUGAACUCAUUUGAGGUUGUGCCGUAUUCCCUUCCUCUGAUCUUGAACUCAUUUGAGGCUGUGCCGUAUUCCCUUCCUCUGAUCUUGAACUCAUUUGAGGCUGUGCCGUAUUCCCUUCCUCUGAUCUGGAAGUCACUUGCGGCUGAGCUGUAUUCUCAUCUUCCAAUUUUGAACUUCCUUGCAGCUGAGCCGUAUUCUCAUCUUCCAAUUGUGGCUGAGCUGUAUUCUCAUCUUCCAAUUGUGGCAGAGCUGUAUUCUCAUCCUCCAUUAGAGGUUGAGCCAUAUUCUGAUCCUCCGAUUGAGGAUGAACCAUAUUUGGAUCCUCUGAUUGAGGUUGAGCCAUAUUCUGAUCUUCUGAUUGAGGUUGAGCCAUAAUAUGAUCUUCUGAUUGAGAUUGAGCCAUAUUCUGAUCCUCUGAUUGAGGUUGAACCAUAUUCUGAUCAUCCAAUUGCGGUUG